rnacentral:rRNA from 1 species
AUUGAACGCUGGCGGCAUGCCUUACACAUGCAAGUCGAACGGUAACAGGUCUUCGGAUGCUGACGAGUGGCGAACGGGUGAGUAAUACAUCGGAACGUGCCCGAUCGUGGGGGAUAACGAAGCGAAAGCUUUGCUAAUACCGCAUAAGAUCUACGGAUGAAAGCAGGGGACCGCAAGGCCUUGCGCGAACGGAGCGGCCGAUGGCAGAUUAGGUAGUUGGUGGGAUAAAAGCUUACCAAGCCGACGAUCUGUAGCUGGUCUGAGAGGACGACCAGCCACACUGGGACUGAGACACGGCCCAGACUCCUACGGGAGGCAGCAGUGGGGAAUUUUGGACAAUGGGCGCAAGCCUGAUCCAGCCAUGCCGCGUGAGUGAAGAAGGCCUUCGGUUGUAAAGCUCUUUCGGCCGGGAAGAAAUCGUAUGGGUUAAUACCCUGUGCGGAUGACGGUACCGGCAUAAGAAGCACCGGCUAACUACGUGCCAGCAGCCGCGGUAAACG